rnacentral:rRNA from 1 species
CCUACGGGAGGCUGCAGUGGGGAAUAUUGCACAAUGGGCGCAAGCCUGAUGCAGCCAUGCCGCGUGUGUGAAGAAGGCCUUCGGGUUGUAAAGCACUUUCAGCGGGGAGGAAGGCGGUGAGGUUAAUAACCUCAUCGAUUGACGUUACCCGCAGAAGAAGCACCGGCUAACUCCGUGCCAGCAGCCGCGGUAAUACGGAGGGUGCAAGCGUUAAUCGGAAUUACUGGGCGUAAAGCGCACGCAGGCGGUCUGUCAAGUCGGAUGUGAAAUCCCCGGGCUCAACCUGGGAACUGCAUUCGAAACUGGCAGGCUAGAGUCUUGUAGGGGGGGGUAGAAUUCCAGGUGUAGCGGUGAAAUGCGUAGAGAUCUGGAGGAAUACCGGUGGCGAAGGCGGCCCCCUGGACAAAGACUGACGCUCAGGUGCGAAAGCGUGGGGAGCAAACAGGAUUAGAUACCCCUGUAGUC